rnacentral:ribozyme from 1 species
UUUUUUUUUUUUUUUUUUUUUUUUUUUUUUUUUUUUUUUCU